GCAUUAAUGGGGUAGUGGUAACCUGGGUUGUUGCCAUAUCCUCGUCUGAAAAGAUCGCUCGACCCGCCGGGGGUUUGAUUCCCUCUUAAUGCA